rnacentral:rRNA from 1 species
GACGAACGCUGGCGGCGUGCCUAAUACAUGCAAGUAGAACGCUGAAGGAGGAGCUUGCUUCUCUGGAUGAGUUGCGAACGGGUGAGUAACGCGUAGGUAACCUGCCUGGUAGCGUGGGAUAACUAUUGGAAACGAUAGCUAAUACCGCAUAAGAGUAGAUGUUGCAUGACAUUUUCUUAAAAGUUGCAAUUUCAUCACUACCAGAUGGACCUGCGUUGUAUUAGCUUGUUGGUGGGGUAACGGCUCACCAAGGCGACGAUACAUAGCCGACCUGAGAGGGUGAUCGGCCAAAAUGGGAAUGAGACACGGCACAGACGACUACGGGAGGCAGCAGUAGGGAAACAUCGGAAAUGGACGGAAGACUGAACGAGCAAAGCCGGGGGAGGGAAGAAGGGAGUAGGAUCGUAAAGCUCUGUUGUAAGAGAAGAAAGAGAGGGAGAGUGGAAAGUUCACACUGUGACGGUAUCUGACCAGAAAGGGACGGCUAACUACGUG